ACGGAGGGGGCUAGCGUUGUUCGGAAUUACUGGGCGUAAAGCGCACGUAGGCGGAUCAGUCAGUCAGGGGUGAAAUCCCGGGGCUCAACCCCGGAACUGCCUUUGAUACUGCUGGUCUUGAGGUCGAGAGAGGUGAGUGGAAUUCCGAGUGUAGAGGUGAAAUUCGUAGAUAUUCGGAAGAACACCAGUGGCGAAGGCGACUCACUGGACACGUAUUGACGCUGAGGUGCGAAAGCGUGGGGAGCAAACAGGA
rnacentral:rRNA from 1 species